rnacentral:rRNA from 1 species
AGUGAACGCUGGCGGUAUUCCUAACACAUGCAAGUCGAACGGCAGCACAGGAGAGCUUGCUCUCUGGGUGGCGAGUGGCGGACGGGUGAGGAAUACAUCGGAAUCUGCCCAGUCGUGGGGGAUAACGUAGGGAAACUUACGCUAAUACCGCAUACGACCUUCGGGUGAAAGAGGGGGAUCGCAAGACCUCUCGCGAUUGGAUGAGCCGAUGUCGGAUUAGCUAGUUGGCGAGGUAAUGGCCCACCAAGGCGACGAUCCGUAGCUGGUCUGAGAGGAUGAUCAGCCACACUGGAACUGAGACACGGUCCAGACUCCUACGGGAGGCAGCAGUGGGGAAUAUUGGACAAUGGGCGCAAGCCUGAUCCAGCCAUACCGCGUGGGUGAAGAAGGCCUUCGGGUUGUAAAGCCCUUUUGUUGGGAAAGAAAUCUUUCAGGCUAAUACCCUGGGAGGAUGACGGUACCCAAAGAAUAAGCACCGGCUAACUUCGUG